UCCGCCAUGGCGCAAUUGGUUAGCGCGUCGUAAGUAAUGAUCAGGAGGCUGUAAGUUCGAGUCUUACUGGCGGAG
rnacentral:tRNA from 1 species